AAUGCUUUCCAGCUACAAUUAGUUCWGAAUACUGGCUGUGAUUUUUGAAGUGACUUUGAGAAUUUCUUGGAUUUGUUGCCUGCUAAUUGGAGGGAUAACCUGUUAUCCUCCACCUAAAGGUAAUUAUAGCUAUAUUCCCCAAAAUAAAUUAAAAGGAACUGGCCACAAUGAAGCGGAAGCAACUGGCUCCUGUGCCUCUGCAGGUGAAGCUACCGGUUCCCGUGCCUCAGAAGCAGCCACCCACAAUGCCUCAGCAAGCGCCACUACUGGCCCAAAUACCUUGGGUGAAGCAACCGUCCACAGUGCCGCGGAACRGACCACCUAUAAUGCCUCGGCAGCGGAAACAGCCACCCAUAAUGCCUCGGCAAGUGUGGCAACUGGCCCAAAUAGCUUAGGUGAAGCAACUGGCCACAAUGCUUCAUCGAGUGCCACGACUUGCCCAAAUACCUUAGGUGAAGCAACCAGCUCCCGUGCCUCGGCAGCGGAAGCA